CCACCCCAGGACUUCGACUCGGCUGCAUUGGCUCGCAGAGUUCCAGCUGCUCCUCGGGUCGCGGCCCCGCCCGGCUUGUCACGGAGCCCGGAGCUGGAGCUGCGGGGUGGGGGUCCAGUACUCUAUCCACCAAGUCAUCAGACUCUGCCUCUGGUUGAAAGGAAGUUACUGUUACUCUGUUACUCUGUUACUCUGUUACUUGUCCAUAAGGAGAGAAUGCCUCUGAGGGAAGGAGGUGAUCAAAAAGUAUGUGAGGUACAGCUAAGUGGUAUAGGGGAUACAAGGCCAGGACUGGAGAUGGGAGGUCCUGGGUUCAAAUGUGGCCCAAGACUUCCUAGCUGUGUGACCCUGGACAAGUCACUUAAUCCCUUUGCCUAGUCCUUUCCAUUCUUCUGUCUUAGUAUUGAUUCUAAGGUGGAAAGUAGGGAUUGAAACAAAGGAGAUUAGUCUCAAAGAUUUAGUCAUUUGGUUUUAUUUAAUAUAGGAGUUCUGUGCAACCCUUUGGGAUAAUAGAGUCUUCAUUGAUUACGUAGUAGAGUAGUAGUAAUUAACAUAGUAAUGAAUGAUCCUCUAUCAUCAAGCCAUUAAAUUAUAUUCACUAUACUCUAAAGAAAGUAAAGAACUCUAUAACCUACUUUAGAUUGAUUUCCUUAAAAUAGUUCUAGAUAUUAAAGAAUAUUGAUACAUAAGUUUAGUUAUUGAUAACAUUUGUUGGUACACAUUUUUUAAUUAUUUCACUGAUUGAGAUAAAAGAGGUAUUAUUGUAUAUUUGUACUUGACAGAGAAAGUGGAGAGAAGAAAAUUAGAGUAAAUCCCGUCCCUAUCGUAUCAUUAGCAGGAGCCCUUAAAUAUCUAGGAAAUGCAUGCCUCCUUGUGUAAUGCGAUUUUUCUGUCUUGUUUCCCAAUUGGAACCAUAAAAAUUUACACUAUAAUUGAAGAACAUUUUAGUCAGACUUCUUCUCAGAAAAGAGCUCUUUUAAUUUAGUUAUGAUUAUCCUCAUUGUCAAAGGAAAACCCUAAAUGUAGUGGAGAUGACUUAUGUUCAAAGCAAAGAAACCUUUGUGAACGUUUAGAAGAGUGGAAGUUGCCAUUUCUGAGCUUUGUUUAAGAAGAGAUAUGUUCACACCAGAAUGGAUAAAAAGGAAUAUAAAUUCUCUUGAGUUCCAAAUAUUAAAAAAAAUCCGAACUGUUAUCUUUUGUCUUAGACUCAAUACUGAGUAUUGGUUCCAAGCUCUUACGCCCAGUAAGAGCUGGACAAUGGGGUUAAGUGACUUGCCCAGGGUCACACAGCUGGGAAGUGUCUGAGGCCAGAUUCAAACCCAGGACCUCACGUCUCGUCUAGACCUUGGUUAUCAAUCCAUUUACCCACCUAGCUGUUGCCAUUCCAAAUAUUUCUAAUCAAGAAAAGUCAAGGAAAUUUUUUUUUCUUUGUCAUCUUGUGUACUCUAGAAUAAAAUAUGAAACAUAUAGGGACA
rnacentral:lncRNA from 1 species